CCUACGGGAGGCUGCAGUAGGGAAUAUUGCUCAAUGGGGGAAACCCUGAAGCAGCAACGCCGCGUGGAGGAUGAAGGUUUUCGGAUUGUAAACUCCUUUUGUUAGAGAAGAUAAUGACGGUAUCUAACGAAUAAGCACCGGCUAAAUCCGUGCCAGGAGACGCGGUAAUAAGGAGGGUGCAAGAGUUACUCGGAAUCACUGGGCGGAAAGAGCGCGUAGGCGGGUUAGCAAGUCAGAAGUGAAAUGCUAUGGCUUAACCAUAGAACUGCAUUUGAAACUGUUAAUCUAGAGUAUAGGAGAGGAAGGUGGAAUUCUUGGUGUAGGGGUAAAAUCCGUAGAGAUCAAGAGGAAUACUCAUUGCGAAGGCGACCUGCUAGAACAUAACUGACGCUGAUGCGCGAAAGCGUGGGGAGCAAACAGGAUUAGAUACCCUUGUAGUC
rnacentral:rRNA from 1 species